UUUUUAAAAUGUUUAACUUAAUAACGUUUGAGUAUUUAUAUUUUUAUCAGAAUCUUUUUUUUUCACCAAAAUUUUAAUAGAUUGACAUAUGUACUUUUAACUCGACACCAUAUAAAUAAGAUUCUUAUCAUCUUUAAAUAAAAAGUCCGAAUACUUCUGUUAUUUUCUUAUCUUUGAUCGCCAUAUUGUGUUUAUAAUUUUUAUUUUUAAAUAUAGCAGUGCCUAAUAUAAAAGUAGAUGUAUGUCUGUAAAAUCCAGCACUAAAAUUCGUACUUUUACUUAAGAAUGUUUUUGCUUUUAGACAAAGAAAAUUAAAUUUUUUCCUGUGUUUUCUCAAGGUUGUCUAUAUAUAAGACUUCUAUCAUUUUUAUUUCUAAAAAUAUCAAUACUCAAUGAAAAUAGAUUUAUAUAUUAUUAAUUCAACAUUAUAAUUUAGAUUUAAAUAAUUAUUUUAUCACAUUUAAAAUAAAAAAUCAAUAUUUUUUAGUGUUUUUUCUAAAACCUGACCAUAUUCGCUCGGCCAUUUAAAUUUUUUAAAAAUACCAAAAUGUUAAUGGAAAAAAACAAUAAUGAGUACAAUUUAAGGCGGAAAAAAAAUUUUUUCAAUACUUUUAAAGUGCAAACCAAAAUACUCGUUCUAGAAAAUUGAGAAGUCUUAAGUUCGACUUCUGGCUGAGAUAUUAUUUUUCGCAACAGAAUUAUUUACAGUAUUUGGAGAGAACAAGAAAACAAAUGUUUAUUUCAUCGUUAAGUUAAUUAUUAAUUUAAUAUUGUGAUAUAAGAGGAGAGAAGGGAGUAUGCAACACUAUUUCGUUUUAUUUAAAUAACUCGGUAAAAAUUUGUGUGACAAUUCUUGUUGAUACAAAUUUGUUACCCAUGGAUUUUUACCAAUCAUGUUAUAAGCAAAAGUUCUUCAGAUGUACAUAACGAACAUAAUUAACAAUUUACUGAAAAAGGAAAAAAGAUUGCGGUUACGGAAUCUAUAGAGGGAUAUGGAAUAUUAUCAACAAAUAUUCUCAAAAUUUUUAUUUCUCAAAAAUGAAAAAUUAAUGCUCUUUGACGGAUCUUACAUAUCAGUAUCAAAGCAUCUUGUAUAUAAUAUAACACAAAAGAAUCAAGGAUAUAAUAAAUAUAGAAACUUUGAUUCUUACGACUUUGUGUAUUAUAGAAAUACUAUAAAAGUAUCAUAACAAACAAUAUUAGCUAAGUAUCGUAAAAAUAUUGUAAAAAAUGUUACGAGGGAAGAGAUUAUGGGACUCACACUUGCAACAAUCGCAAGAGUCCAUAAUCAUGAAUGCAAGCAGUAUAAUUUCACAUGUUAAAUGCAUACACACUACAUCAAACAUUAAAUUUAAUUAAUUAUUUGAAACCUAUAUUCAAGUCCUUCAAACACUAAUAUUAAAAAAUUAAUACCUGACAUAUUUCUCAAAAUAAGGUAAAAAACAGACACCAAUAAAACUUUCGGUUACUUGUAACACUGAAAUGCAGCUUUUAUAUCAACAAAACAAACACUAAUGACCAGUGGUCAUGUUAUAACAUCUAAACAGUAUAUAAAGAAGUAGUUCGGACAGUUCUUCCCAGAACUCAACACAAAAUAUACGAGAUAUCGCGAAUUCCAUAACCUCAUAGUCCAUAACCACCUUCUCUUCUCUACUAAUCUGAUUUAUUUUAUAGUUGUAUUUCAAAGAUCAAAAAUUCUAUUCGGCACACAGUUCACAGUGACUCUAAUCAUAACUCUAAAAGAUAUAUAAAAUCACACAAAUAAAUAUCAGCAGAAAAUUCAGCUACUAAGUAAGGUGUAUUCUAUAUUAAGCGAUCUUCACUUUAUUUUUAUGUUUAAAAUAUUUAUCGGUCGAAUAAUUAAUUUAUUAUUAUUACAUUCUAUAUUAGUUAUACUUUCAUAAGAUUUUGGUGACAAAUAUAAUUUUUUUUACCUUUCUUAAUUCUCGGUGCUAUAUUUAAUUUUUGGAAAAGACCGCACGACUAAUAAAAAUAGACAUGUUUAAUUACAAUUUAAGCUCCAGAAAAAAUUUCGUAGUUCAAAUACAUUUUGAACAGAAAGGGUAUGCGUUUCGCAGAGAAAUCCCCAUGUGCGUGCAUGUGUGUAUUUGUGCGUGCGUGCGUGCAUGCGUGCGCGCGCGCGCGCGCGCGUGUGUGUGUGUAUGUGUGUGUGUGUGUGUAAAUAUAGGAACAUAUAAAUAUAUAAAUAUUGAGUGCUCAGUAGACAAAACAGAUUUGUGAGUGCUUUUGUAUUAUGAUUAGUUUCUACCUCAACGAGGAAGUAAAGACAAGAAUUAGAUAUUAAUCCUUCGCAUACACACUGAGUGGUUACCACUCGUAAAAAUUCACCCAUAAAAAAUUCAGCGCUCUGUAUCUUUCAAGUACCGUAAUAAAUGGAAAAAAAACUCAAAAACUACAAAAAAUGCAAAAACUAAUUUUUCUCAAAUCGCAAAAUAUAAUUUUUUAAAUAUGAAAUGUCUUAAAUUUUAAUACCAAAAGUAUGUAAAUACUUUUUAUAAACAUUAAAGUUAAUCUAUGAAUUUUUUUUAGAAUUUUAGCAUAAAUAUUUUAAAAGAUACAGCUAUUUGAAAAUUGCUAUGGGUGGCAACCACCCAGCGCUCACUAAUUUGCUUUGUCUACUGAACGCACUCAUUAAUACAUUACUAAUAUUCAAAAUAAUAUUAAAAUUAAUAAUAAAAAGAUGUAAGGGCAUAACAAAGAAAUGAAAUACAUGGGUAAAACUUGUCCGGUUAGGAGAUGGUGUUAUUAUAAUAAGCGAUAGACUGAGCGUGUGCCUCGUUCGGCGAAUACGACUGCUUUCGCUUUUACCCGAUAUUUAGCGCGCAUGACCUAUUUCGGACUGGCCCAUGACUCGACUGCAACGCGACUGUCUCUUGACUGUAUCCUUUUGUUGCUAAGCACGCUCGGACAUGCAUUGGCCCACCCUACCGAACGGGGAUCUAAAUCUAUUCCGACUCAUCUCGCAGGCGUGACCUUACAUGUGAGAGUUGACCUAAGUUGUACUACGCAUUUCUGAUCUUACAAAGGCAAAUUGUGGAUGAAAUGUAGUUGGAAGAUAUUGAUAUUAUAACACGACAUUAUUAGUCAGAUUUUAAAAAACAGUAUUCAUGCAAAACAGUAAUUCAAACUGUUUUUGACAAGUAGACUUUGAUAAUUAAUGAAAAAUAGGGAUUUGAUGGGUUAAAACUAGGGGAAAGUAUUACGUUACUUGUAUCACCAUUAUCGUUAAGCCUCAUCACGACAUUGUCGUUAGUCGUUGAUAAGAAAUUUAACCAAUUAUGUUUGCUUAUUCUUCUCUAAGAUCAACUGUGAUUGGUUAGAAUUCUUACAACUAACGACUAACGACUCAUUGUAGACGAGACAUUAGAGUUACUGUUUUUGUUAACGAAUUGCGUGGCACUUUCCUUUUUCUGUAAUGUAGUUACAUUUUUUUUCAAUAACGGUAACAAAUUUAACAGUUCGGUAUUUACAGUUAAUAUUUACAGUUGGGCUUUUAUUUAAGAACAUUUUAAGUACUUUCUUAAGAUAGUAUCAAUCAAUCACAGAACCGUAUUAGCAUCUUAAGAUAUUAGCAUCUUGAGACGAUCUAUAAAUGUCAGAUAAAAAUUUAAGCUCACCAAAACAUGAUCUGCUGGAUUACAAGCAAACGCGACGAUUACUUUGUUAUCAUUUGUUUUAUAAUAAAUAUAAUUCGGGCGAUUUUUCGGCUCUACAGCUAUACGGAGAACCGCAGCGUUCAAACGAGUCGGGUGCUCGUUAAAGGGAGAUAACUUCUUGAACAUGUCUCGAGUCCACCAACCAAUCUAUCGCGAAUUGACGAUCGGCGGACGUAGGGUCUCCUCCUCGAGAAAUAUUGCUACCUUACUUCAGCGAACACCCGAACACACACAUGCUAAGCCCUUAUGCUAAUGGGUUCUCCAUCCUCUCUCCGCCAGGACACUCUCGGAGUUGGAUGUCCUGUCGCGCGACAGCUCAAGGUCGCGUUGUCACCCUCUGCCACUGCCAGAUCAGCGCUGGUGUCACCACCAUAAACGAUGUCAGGUGGCACUGUAAGACAAAUAUAUCAUUAAUAAAUUAA